rnacentral:rRNA from 1 species
UACGUAGGGGGCAAGCGUUGUCCGGAUUUAUUGGGCGUAAAGAGCGUGUAGGCGGCCACACAGGUCUGCUGUGAAAACUCGAGGCUCAACCUCGAGCUGUCGGUGGAAACCGUGUGGCUAGAGUCCGGAAGAGGAGAGUGGAAUUCCCGGUGUAGCGGUGAAAUGCGCAGAUAUCGGGAAGAACACCCGUGGCGAAGGCGGCUCUCUGGGACGGUACUGACGCUGAGACGCGAAAGCCGGGGGAGCAAACAGG